UGUGCAUGCUAAUUAAACUGAGCCCUAUAGCAUCCAAAAUGAAAGACCUCACACUUCAAAUCAAGCCCUACAAGCUGCUGAAAGCGUGCCUGUAAAACAAGAUGCUACUUUGUUGUUUUACUUUUAAAAGAGGUGCAAUCGAAAGGAUUUGUUUUGAGCCACUAAAUUGCACUUGUUUUUAAACUCGCUGCUGAUUUACGAUGAUCUUUUUUAGCAGGAUUGCUGGGUUCUUCGCUCUGGCGUUUUGACUGUCAGUGAUGAAUAUUUAGUAGAUGUAAACACGCACCUAUUUAAAAAUACCCUUGUGUUUCUCUUCAGUGCCUUUGGGUUUUCACUUGAUAGGGAACUCUUUGUCUGAGUUUCCAUCGUUAGUUGACAGCGUCUAGCAUGUUCAGAGACAGUCAAGCGUCAGCUCAUGAAACAAACAUUUAGCAAGCUCACAACAGCGAAGCUGCCAGUUGACGUGCACCGAUCAAAUCCAUCCCGUCAUGUAAAUAACUUGUUUCAGUGUGCUUUCAAUUAAAGCGGAGGACGGAGUGCCAUUGCUGCCUUUGAUGGAUGAGCUUAGAUAUUGGAGUGUACCGUUGGAUGACAAAACGUUCCCCCACUCCACCUCAACUCCUCUUUUCUAUUGAUUGCCCGGAUAGUUAUUCAUCAGGGCGGUGGCCACUGUCAGAUCAGCUGUUUCUUCUGCUCACAAAACACAUUUUCUUCAUUUAUUGAUAAAGCUAUUUGACCUUUUAUUCAAAUGUGCACGUGUGUGUGUGUAGCUGUGUAACUUACACACAUCUGUGUUUUCUUUCCCUGCGUUCCUGCCAGAGGGUCGAGGAUCACUGCAGCUACAUGAACAAAGUCAGGCUGUUUUCAUUAACGCCAAAUGAGUAUGUCUAUUCUUUGCAGAUGUCCGUUUCAGCUGCGCCUGGGCCUGGCUAUCACAUAACGAAAAUAAACCAAAAACCCGUUUUACAGUUUGGCAGAGGUGUGGACAGGUGGGUCCGGCGUCAGGUUCAAGAGCACAUGUGGCUUCAGUUAGAACAGCCAGAAAUGGAGAUUUUGC
rnacentral:lncRNA from 1 species